AUUGAACGCUAGCGGCAGGCUUAAUACAUGCAAGUCGUGGGGCAGCAUGAUGUAGCAAUACAUUGAUGGCGACCGGCAAACGGGUGCGGAACACGUACGCAACUUUCCCAAAACUGGUGAAUAGCCCUCCGAAAGGAGGAUUAAUACACCGUAACAUAACGAGAUGGCAUCAUUUUGUUAUUAUAGCUCCGGCGGUUUUGGAUGGGCGUGCGCCUGAUUAGGUAGUUGGCGGGGUAACGGCCCACCAAGCCUACGAUCAGUAACUGGUGUGAGAGCACGACCAGUCACACGGGCACUGAGACACGGGCCCGACUCCUACGGGAGGCAGCAGUAAGGAAUAUUGGUCAAUGGACGAAAGUCUGAACCAGCCAUGCCGCGUGAAGGAUGACGGCCCUCUGGGUUGUAAACUUCUUUUAUCUGGGACGAAAAAAGAUCAUUCUUGAUCACUUGACGGUACCAGAGGAAUAAGCACCGGCUAACUCCGUGCCAGCCGCCGCCGUAA
rnacentral:rRNA from 1 species